rnacentral:lncRNA from 1 species
CUCAUGAUAGUGAGUGAGUUCUCUCAAGAUCUGAUGGUUUAAAAAUGUGUGGCACUUCCCCCUUCACUCUCUCCCACUCCUGCUCUGCCAUGGUAAGACAUGCUUGCUUCCCCUUCGCCUUUGACCAUGAUUGUUAAGUUUCCUGAGGCCUCCCAGCCAUGCUUCCUGUACAGCUUGUGGAACGUCUGAAGGCAGACAGAAUUCAAGAUUUGAAGAUCUGUGCCAAAAUUAUAGUGUACUGGGUCUCACUCUGUUGCCCAGGCUGGGGUGCAAUGGCGCAAUUACAGCACAUUGCAACCUCGAACUCCCAGGCUUAAGUGAUCCUCCUGCCUCAGCCUCUCGAGUAGCUAGGACCACAGGAUGUAGAGAGCAGUCUUCAGCCUGAGACCUAUCCCUGGGUGCUCUUGAAUGAAUGUUUCUGAUUGGAGAUUGUGACAUCAAAAUAGAAGAAAAACUUUCAGGACUCACAGAGAGCUGGAACAUCCAUGAAUAUCAAACAGAACAGGAAUUAACUGCAUGGACUGAAUUAACAGAAGACUGAAGUUAUCUUUUUGACUUUUUGCUUAAAAUGUUGCUGAUCCUUUGUUUUGUUUUUUUCAAAGAAACUUUUCUUUUGCACUAUUGACAGCUUCUAACAAUUCAGUAGACUCCUAUGAACAAAAUUUGGAGCAUAUUUGUUUCUCUCUACCUGAUUUCUCUAGAAUUUGGAAACUAUUUGUGAGUAUUCUUAACUUAUGGCAAUACAGUUAUUUGCGUAAGUGCAAUAAGAAUCUGUUUUCAUUUGUAACAGGACACAAUUGGAGAAACUAGUUAUUUUACCAAGGCUUUGACUGGAAUGGUGUGCUUUCCUUUAAGGAAUCAAACUUGACUUACAGAGCCAAUGAAAGCCCCUUGGGAAAACUGGCUUCACACCUUAUCUACACAGUCCCUGUACAGGGUUUCUGACCUGUUGUUAAGUAAAGAAUGUCACUUUCUGACAGGCCCAGGAGCCCCAAGUUUAUCUUGGAAUCAAGAGGAGAGGAAUUCACCCAAUUCACAGGUAUUUGAUGGUACAAAUCCAUGGCUGGGCUUGGCUUUAAAAAAGUCUUACCUGAGAUUAUUUCUAUGGAACAAAGUUCUAUCAAAGCCAAUUUAAAAGCCUAUGUAGGCAGGGCGCAGUGGCUCAUGCCUGUAAUCCCAGCACUUUGGGAGGCCAGGGCAGGCAGAUCACCCCCGAGAUCCCGCCACCGCACUCCAGCCUGGGUGACAGAGCAAGACUAUGUCACGAAAAAAAAAAAAAGCCUAUGUAACAAAAUAAUUAUUCUUGCUGCACUAUAUACAAACAAUCUGGCCAAUUAGAAGAAAGCAAAUCAGUCCUACCAUAAUUUGUCUUUAGUGAAAAUGAGAAACUGGAGACAGAGAAAUUAUGUUUCAAAAACUAUAGUAUACCUAUUGUUAGAUUCUAGUCCUGCCUAAUAUUUUUCAAUUUUUAUUAUUUUCUAUAGUUUAGACAGAAUUCAAACUUUUCUUGGCUACAAGUCUUCAAAAUAAUGUUUUCAAUUUAUUUCCCUUCUUUUUUCCCCCAUUUUUCCUAAUUUGGAGUCACUGAAAACUAAGCUGUGCUUUCUUAAUGCCCUAAGAACUGAAGCUAGACACUUAAACUUCAGAAGAAAAGAACAGCAACUUAGUUACAUACAUAAGCCACUUUAAUACCUGCCUACUGACAUAUGGACUUCAGGUAAUGUGGCCUAUAUAAAUUUUCCAGGAUUUGUUUUUUGUUUUUUGUUGUUUUUCUCCCUUCCUCCCCGUUUUCUCUUCACAAGACAUGAGACUUCACAACCAGCUAAAAUUGAGCUUUCCUAAUAACUCAGGACCUAUCCGUCAAGGAAUAAACCAUCCUAGCCAUGAGAGAUCAGACGAAACUUGAGACCAGAGACUCAUUUUCUUCUAAAUAUGCUUUCUCCAAAAGAUUUUUAAAAAGGGAGGAAAUAUGAAAGGAAAAUAAAUCUUGGAGACCCCAAAUCACUAAAGGGAAAAGUCAAGCUGGGAAUUGCUUAGGGCAAAUCUGCCUUCCAUUCUAUUCAAAGUCACCCCUCUGCUGAGAUAAACGCGUAUCUGCUUGCCUCUUUUGGAGAGGCUAAUCAGAAACUCAAAAGAAUGCAACCAUUGGUCUCUUAUCUACUUAUGACCUGGAAGUCUCCUCCCUGCUUCAGGUUGCCUCACCUUUGCUUCCAGCUGGACCGAACCAAUGUUCAUUUUACAUAUGCUGACUGACGUCUCAUGUAUCCCUAAAAUGUAUAAAACCAAACUGCUCUGAACACCCUGGGCACAUGUCAUCAGGACCUCCUGAGGCUGUGUCAUGGGUGCAUGUUCUCAACCUUGGCAAAAUAAACUUUGUAAAUUAACUGA